rnacentral:sRNA from 2 species
CCACCCUACGUUUUUGUCCAACUCCCUUGCCGCUUUUGGGUCCCCGUUUCCCUAAGCCUUCUCCCCUGGCUGCCCCUGGCAUUUCUAAGCGCGGGCGGCCCACCAUGAUCCACCCACCCGCCAGGUACAUGGGCGUUAGUCGUAAACUAUGCCGCUAUGAUCUGCAAGGCCCAGAUCCGGCGACAGGGAGUCUUUCGGCUAUUGGUACAGUAGAUUUUGUAUUAUAAUUGGUACGGUAUAUACAGGACGUCUGUAUCCAUGUAGCCCAGGCUGUGCUGCCGCAAUUGUUGACGGAGAGUACAUGUAAAUGAUAGCGAUAACAGUA